rnacentral:rRNA from 1 species
AACGAACGCUGGCGGCAGGCCUCAAACAUGCAAGUCGAGGGGGCGUAGCAAUACGUCACCGGCGGACGGGUGCGUAACACGUGGGAAUGUACCUAGUGGUUCGGAACAACGCUUGGAAACGAGUGCUAAUACCGGAUGUGCCCGAAAGGGGAAAGAUUUAUCGCCACUAGAUCAGCCCGCGCAGGAUUAGCUAGUUGGUAGGGUAAUGGCCCACCAAGGCUCCGAUCCUUAGCAGUUCUGAGAGGAAGAUCAGCCACACUGGGACUGAGACACGGCCCAGACUCCUACGGGAGGCAGCAGUUGGGAAUCUUGGACAAUGGGCGAAAGCCUGAUCCAGCCAUGCCGCGUGAGUGAUGAAGGCCUUAGGGUUGUAAAGCUCUUUUACCCGGGAAGAUAAUGACGGUACCGGGAGAAUAAGCUCCGGCUAACUUCGUGCCAGCCGCCGCAGUAA